rnacentral:rRNA from 1 species
UAAGGAAUAUUGGACAAUGCCCGCAAGGGUGAUCCAGCCAUGCCGCGUGCAGGAAGACGGCCCUAUGGGUUGUAAACUGCUUUUGAACAAGAGAAAACCCCUUUACGUGUAAAGGGCUGAUAGUCUUGUUAGAAUAAGCAUCGGCUAACUUCGUGCCAGCAGCCGCGGUAAGACGAAGGAUGCAAGCGUUAUCCGGCUUCAUUGGGUUUAAAGGGUGCGUAGGCGGCCAGAUAAGUCAGCGGUGAAAUCCUGUUGCUUAACAACAGAACUGCCAUUGAUACUGUUUGGCUUGAGUAUAGUUGCUGUGGGCGGAAUAUGACAUGUAGUGGUGAAAUACAUAGAGAUGUCAUAGAACACCGAUUGCGAAGGCAGCUCACAAAACUAUAACUGACACUGAGGCUCGAAAGUGCGGGGAUCAAAC